rnacentral:sRNA from 1 species
CCCGGCACUUACGUGUCGGGCUAUCACAUGCCGCCCCUGCGGGGCU